rnacentral:rRNA from 1 species
UACGAAGGGGGGCUAGCGUUGCUCGGAAUUACUGGGCGUAAAGCGCACGUAGGCGCUUUCUAAGUCGGGGGUGAAAUCCUGGAGCUCAACUCCAGAACUGCCCUUCGAUACUGGAAGACUCGAGUCCGGGAGAGGUGAGUGGAACUGCGAGUGUAGAGGUGAAAUUCGUAGAUAUUCGCAAGAACACCAGUGGCGAAGGCGCUCACUGGCCCGAUACUGACUG